CUACCAGUAAGUCAGUUUUUGCCUCAAUUAUCAUUUUAAUGGUACUUUCAAAACUAACACUACCGCAGAACAACAGAACAAUCUGCCGAUGGGGAGACAAAAUCUAUUUUGUUGACAUUUUUGUUUAAUACGUCAGCUUCAUAUGACACCAUUCAUUGUGUAAAUGAUUAAGAUUGCAAUUGUUUAAUAUGUCAGCUUCAUAUGACACCAUUCUUUUUAUAAAUGAUUGACUUGAUACUAAGAUUGUACUCAGUCAGAACUGUAAAACUAUAUAAUAAGAAAGAAAUUGUGAGCAUUAUGGAAAAAAGUCAAAUAAUUUUUCAUUUGUGUACAAUUGUGUGUUACAAUUUGGAUAUCAUACUGCUCAUUUGACCUUAUGCAUAAUGAUGUGACAAGGCUUGAUGCCUGCCAGGAAUGCUGGUCUUAAGCUAUGGGCAAACUAGGAAACGUUGCAGAAACAUUUGUAAUUGUCGAUGUUUCCUCAGACGUUUCCCUAUUCGCCCACCCUGUUCGUCCACCCUGUUCGUCCACGCCUGUUCGUCCGCAAUAACGUUUCCUAGUUUGCCCAGGACUUUAGUAAUCGCCCAGGAAAAUUAAACAAUCCAAAAUGGCCACUAUUGAAAUUUUCCUGGCCAUCAAGCCUUAAGACGUCAUUAUGCAUAAGGUCUAUUGAUUUGAUAUACAGACAUUACAGUAAAGCCUUGCCCUUGCAUAAAAGAACCAGUAGGUUAAGAACCACUAGCCUGAAAUUUGGGCAAUUGAGCACCCAAAAUGCAAUGUGUUGAAUAUAAAAAAG